UGGAUUUGCCAGUGAUUCUGAAUCACUAUAGCUCUUGGAUACAUCUUCCUGACUCAGGCUAACCUCACAUGCAGUGGAAGAUAUUCACAGGAGGGACAAGUCUGAAUGCUGACCAGAAAACUUGCCAUACUGGAAGUUUCCAAGAUUGAAGAAGGAGGGAGAGAGGGCUAUGGGGUCACAGGUUAGAGGUGGUAUCCAGAGCUUGGAAUAAACAUUUGCCCUAGUGUUCA